UGAAUAGGGUCAGGAAGAAAGUAAACCUGGUAGCUAAAGCUAGGUUUUAGGUUAAAAACCUCAAGGUAAGGCUGGAUGGAUAAGGUUAGCAGGGAAAGUCCAGGUAGUAAGGGGAUGGGCAAAGCUGUGUGGGUAAAACUCAAGUCCAGCUGAGUCAGGACAGGAGGGAGAUGAGGUCAGGUGGGCGUGGCUAGCAGGUCAAGGCUCAAUCCAUAGGAAGGCGGAGUAAGCAGUCAGGAGUUACAGCCAGGUAGUUCCAGGACAGUGAGUUCAGGCCGUCAUGGCUGGAGCUUGAGAGAUGUGAGUGAAACCUAAGCAGUCACAGCUCAGAGCAGCGUGUCCUCUGCCCAGCUCCCUCGCGUUAACCUUCGGUCUCCCCCAGUUGUCCUGACACAGGAAGAGCUCCCAGCAGAGCACAGGAUGUACUCCAGGUCCCCUUAGUGCCCUCUGUGUCAUCCCCUUCACGGUCCAGUGGAGUGAGGCGGGACACAGCCACCUCACUGGGGCUGCAGCAGCGGUCAGGACGGCUCCCCUUCUCACCUGCUCGCUUGUUCAGAGUCAAGGUCACGCUGUCCCCAGGUCUUCAGGAGUCACUGAUGCUCCUGGCUCUCUGGGGCGAGCCUCACUUUGUAACUUGCGCAGGGUGGCUCUCAGGAGUGAGGUCGCCAGGGACUUCCUUGUGUACAGUGCUCCAUCACCGCUAGAAGGAAUGGAGGAAGAGACUUGGGAAAAUGCUCAGGGCCAGGGUCUGCAGGUGGAGGCCUCGGCUACCUGUGGUGGAAAAUGGCUUUCUCUUGGUCGUGGAGAGGGGCUGGGGUGGGGGCUGCGCCUCUGCCAGCAGCAGCAGGGCCCAGAGGAAGACGGGGUGGCUCAGGGUCUGCUUUCUGCCCAUGCUGAAUCCCACCUCAGUGGAACUCCAGCAGCACGGGCCCUGUGACAGAAGGACAGGGGCUGGGAUGUGGGCCACUCAAAUGGCCCACGACAGAGAAAUCAUGGAAGUCCUCUUUGGUGAUCAAAAAUAGAGUGAAUGCUGCUGCUGCGAGCCACCCAGUGGAAAGGCAGACUGGAACAUGAUGGUGUGUCCUCGUCCACCUUGUCCACCAGAUCGGGCAACAUGUGACACUGGCUCUUCCCAAAGACAAAACGACCGUGAAAGAAACAUUUUGAAUCCAUCCAGGACAUGGAGGCAGCCAUGGCUGCACAGCUAAAGGCACUCACAGAAGAGGAUUCCAGAAGUGCUUCAGACAGCGGCAAGAGUGAUGUCAAGUGAGGACUGUGGGGGGCAGUGGUCAUGUGCCUUUUACUGUAACGCAGUUUUAAAUUGAAGCAUUCACCAUAGUUUGUCACACCUCACAUCCUCAUGUUUAUAAUCCGCACCAUGUCAUUCCCCACCAAGAUCCCUUUGUUCUACAUACCAACACAGGCAGUGCAACAGGAACGCAAAUUGCUUUCUGCCAGCUGGAAAGCUCCUGGCAUCCUGAGGCCCAGUGCCCAUGCUGCACCAUCCACCUGUGCGUGGGAACCUUCAUCCCCAGUGCCCUCACCUCACAUGUCCAGUUGCAGGGCCAGUUGGCCCCAGAUGUUGCUCAGCUCACAUCCUAUCAUCUCCAUGCUCAGGUCCAGCUAUGAUGCGAACCUGGCAACCCCAAGCCAAGAAAUCUCAUGAGCGUAUCAGAGACCACUCCGGGAGCCACUGUCCCUUUGCUUUGCUUUGGGAGGGGAGACGUCCCUCCUGGCUCAGGGGCUGUGUCUCAGGCCGCCCCAGCUUGGCCCCCAGCACAACCCUCUCUUUAGAAGUUUCUCUUCUUCAUCUCACCCACAUGCUCCUUGAAGUCCUUGGGUCACCUGCCCAGGAGAGGCCAACCUGACCUCAGGAAAGUCUCCUAGGGGAUGUCAAGUCCAGCGGUAGUUGAAAACGAUAGGGCCCAAGAAGUAAAGGCAGCUGGUUGGCAAUGAAAUAAGAGAAUAGCCAGACAUGGUGGCAAAUCCACAGACAAGCACCAGUCUUGACAGUAGCCAGGCAGGGCAGCACACACUUGUGAUCCCAGCAUUCUGGGAGGCUGAGCAGGAGGAUCAUAAAUUCAAGCCUUGCC
ensembl:lncRNA